AUGCAGCCUUCAUCACUUGGAACUCAAAGCUAUGGAAUAAUGGGAUUUGUAGUACCUAAUAAUAUAAUAUUAUCAUGGUACCUAUGCAUAUACUAUAUGUACUUGAUCAGCUUGUUCUACCCCUCAAAAUGCACAUUGUUUGCUACCUCCAGCAACAUUAUAAUUAUAAUAAUUCAUGCAGCCUUCAUCACUUGGAACUCAAGGCUAUGGAAUAAUGGGAUUUGUAGUACCUAAUAAUAUAAUUAUAAUAAUCCCCACAUAGAUGAGAAUGGGAAGUACCUAAUAAAAUAGAGGAUGCCUGCCAUACCCUGUUUUCCCGAAAAUAAGACAGU
rnacentral:lncRNA from 11 species